rnacentral:lncRNA from 1 species
UGGAUCCUUCCGUCCCGGGGCGCCCUCGCGGGAGGGCUGGGGGCGCUGGGACGGGCGGGCGAGCGGCAGGAGAACGUCUGGAGGCGGCACUGUUGCCGAUCCGGGUCUGGACAGCAGCUGAACUGAGCCCGGCCCGCUCUCGGAGAAAAUUCCUGUUGUCGGCGCUGGACCGCGGGCGGCCGCAGAGCAUGCCGGGGCUGGCCUGACGCUGGCGUCACGCGCGGGGCGGGUCCUGCGCUGCGUCAGGGUGCCGAGGCGGGGUUUCUCGCCUCCGGUCACAAUGGGACCUCUGUACCGCGCUGGGCUUGUUGGCCUGCGAUUAGCACACACCCAUCCCUGGGAACUGCUAGUCUGGAAAGCGGGGCUGCUUCUGCUGGAUGAGCCCGAGCCCUGCCAAGCCCCUCAAGGCAUUGAAGCUUUAGCUCACCUUAUCCGAAUGGUCAUUGGGCAUCCGGACUUGAGUUAACGACUGAAUUUUUCUGGGAAGCAAGGGACACGUUCUAAAAUAACCCCAGGAUCACUCUCCGAACUUGGCCUGAGUCUAGGCAAGCAGUGUUACUCGGUCGCCUUGAUCUUGGAGCUGCUGUGUACUGGGGACCUCAUACUAGUUGGGUUAACUAUAUUCCCAUUAGCAGUACACGGGAUCGCAGUACUCGGGACAAGCUGAGUUCAGGUAUUUGGCUGCUAUGAGUAACACGAUCUGGAAAGACAGCGCUAGCAAGGAAUGAGGAGUGAUACAGUGACUGGAGGCUAAGAGAUAAUGUCUGCAAGUCACCUAAAACCAUUGCAGACACAGGGAGAUUGAUGGAUUUGGAGGACUUCUGGUUGUGAAGACUCUGACGAUUGCUAAAGAACACAGUUGUAAAGUCCUCAUUUCAACUUUGCAAGUCUCUAUGCAUUAUUUCUCGAAACAAUGGAAUUUUCUACUCAGCACAUACUCAAAUGCAUGCAAGGAAAUAUUCUUCUAAGAGUGCAAAUACCUGCAAGUAAGCACAAAUGCCUGUAAUGCUGAGAACCACACCUGACAAGAGAUUGAUUACAUCACCGGCUUCUUCUGCUUCAACAACAGGCAGCAUCAAAACUGUGACAUGAGAACUAAGGACAACUAUGUUGAAACUGAGGCCAUGCUGUUGAAAUCUUGAGGGCUGAAGGUUCCAAAGAAAUGAUAUACAUAGAAUUCUAUCACACUUGAAAUUUUCCUUUUCUGGAGCUCCGGAUGCUG